UACAGAGGGUGCAAACGUUGCUCGGAAUCAUUGGGCGUAAAGCGCACGUAGGCGGCCUAGCAAGUAGGGAGUGAAAGCCCUCGGCUUAACCGAGGAAGUGCACUCGAAACUGCAAGGCUAGAGUCUCGGAGAGGAUCGUGGAAUUCUCGGUGUAGAGGUGAAAUUCGUAGAUAUCGAGAGGAACACCGGUGGCGAAGGCGGCGAUCUGGACGAUGACUGACGCUGAGACGCGAAAGCGUGGGGAGCAAACAGG
rnacentral:rRNA from 1 species